rnacentral:rRNA from 1 species
GACGAACGCUGGCGGCAUGCUUAACACAUGCAAGUCGAACGGAAAGGCCCUGCUUGCAGGGUGCCCGAGUGGCGAACGGGUGAGUAACACGUGUGUGAUCUGCCCCUCACUUUGGGAUAAGCCCGGGUAACGGGGUCUAAUACUGGACAGGACCAUUCUGUAGGUGGUGUGGUGGAGAGAUUAGUUUAGGUAAGGGGUGAGCUCGCGGCCUAUCAGCUUGUGGGCGGGGUGUUGGCGUACCAAGGCAUCGACGGGUAGACGGCCAGAGAGGGUGGACGGCGAAAUUGGGACUGAGGGACGGAGCAACCGCCUACGCGAGGACGCAAUGGGGAAGAGUGGAAUAUGGGCGAAAGCGUGAUGGAGUGACGCCGCGAGGGGGAUGACGGGCUUCAGGUUGUAGACUCCUAUCACCCAUUACGAAGCGCUGGUGGUGACGGUAGUGGUAGAAGAAGCACCGGCUAACUACGUG